rnacentral:rRNA from 1 species
UGGGGGAUAUUGCACAAUGGGCGAAAGCCUGAUGCAGCGACGCCGCGUGGGGGAUGAAGGCCUUCGGGUUGUAAACUUCUUUUGCUCUGAACAGGGCGCACCAUGGGGUGUGUUGAGUGUAGGGGUUGAUUAGCGCCGGCUAACUACGUGCCAGCAGCCGCGGUAAUACGUAGGGCGCGAGCGUUGUCCGGAAUUAUUGGGCGUAAAGGGCUUGUAGGUGGCUGGUUGCGUCUGUCGUGAAAGCUCAUGGCUUAACUGUGGGUUUGCGGUGGGUACGGGCUGGCUUGAGUGCAGUAGGGGAGGCUGGAAUUCCUGGUGUAGCGGUGGAAUGCGCAGAUAUCAGGAGGAAUACCGGUGGCGAAGGCGGGUCUCUGGGCUGUUACUGACACUGAGGAGCGAAAGCAUGGGGAGCGAACAGG